rnacentral:rRNA from 1 species
UACGUAGGGGGCUAGCGUUGUCCGGAAUCAUUGGGCGUAAAGAGCGUGUAGGCGGCCCGGUAAGUCCGCUGUGAAAGUCGGGGGGCUCAACCCUCGAAUGCCGGUGGAUACUGUCGGGCUAGAGUGCGGAAGGGGCGAGUGGAAUUCCUGGUGUAGCGGUGAAAUGCGCAGAUAUCAGGAGGAACACCAAUGGCGAAGGCAGCUCGCUGGGACGUGACUGACGCUGAGACGCGAAAGCGUGGGGAGCAAACAGG